GGAGAGAGAGGUUUGGCUUUGCAAGAUUUGAAUUGAUCUUGCAUAUCUUUAAAGAAGAUUUCAAAUCUUAGAGAAUAUUUGCAAUUAAUGGAUGAUCUCUCUCUCUCUAAUCUCUCUCUAAUCUCUACACUCUCCAUAAUAUACUCUCAAUCUCUACUCUCUCCAUCUCUAUACUUAGUCAUUUAAGGCAUAUAACAUAUGGUAGAGAAAUUAAAAUAAAGUGUGAGAAGGGUGAUUAAAUAAAAAUCACAAUAACUAUGGAAAUGUCACUCAUUAAUAAAGUACCAUAGUAUAAUUAUUCACGUGACCAAAAAUAAUAAUUAUAGCACUAAUAUUAGUGCACUCACUCAAUUAUAAUAUUCCUCAUCAUAGGAAAAAUAAUUUAAAAAAAAUUAUGCUUGGAAAAAUUUCCAUAAACCGGCAUCGUUCGAUUUUCCGGUAAAAAUAAACUGCACUUGCUUUGCAAACUUAAUAAAAAUUCCAAGUGGUAAAGUCUCAAAUAAAAAAUCAUAAUAACUUGGUUAAAAUGACUCACGUAACAAAAUCACAUAAUCAAUCAGUCACGUAAAUUCACAUAUCAUCACAUCAAAGUAGUCGGCAAACACAAACAGACUAAACGUCUCUCAGACCGACUUUAUUUAUCAAGGUUUCUCACUCUUUCUUCCUCGACUCUAUUUCCAACUCAUUAUUCCCAUUUUCUUAAUAGGACAGUCAAUCUCUGAUAACUCGGUAUCCGGUAACUCUAUUCCCGGUAGUUGGAAAUAAAAUAAAAUCUGAGCUCAAUUAAAUCAGCAUCUCUAUCUCAACUCAUUUCUCAAAUCUCAUCACUCUAAUUCCAUCAUCGGUUUAUUCACUCGUAUCUCUAUUUAAAAGACAAUCUGUCUUAUCUGCUCAUAAAAAAAAGUAGUCUCGUAAUUCGACAUCUCAGUACUCUCAUUAGUGUUAAGACACUAUCUCACAACAUAGGAAAAGUACGGGGUGUUACAUUAACCCUGGUGAGAAUGUGACACACACCCGUCGUGCGGUGCGGACAAAAUACCUGUGUAUGCCCAGUACUGACAAUACACGCUCCUACUUCUCGCAAUAAGAACUUAGCCUUAGUGGUAAGUGUAGGGUCGAAUCCCACAGGGAGUGAGGAACCACUUUGUUCUCCUACGACAAACUGAGGUGUCACAAUUCUCAAUCUGUAUACUCUGCACAAGAAAUAAAUAAGAUCAAUAAUAACAAAGGGGUGAGGUUAUUCGGUUAGGUCAUAACUGUUGUUAACAUUCGUUUCGGUCAUAGGCACACUGAUGAUCCUUCUAUGAUCCAUUCAAGCCCAAGGCGUGGCCCAAAGACAUUGGGGCGUUUCAAGGGGUUGCACUUCACAUAUAGGAUGGUUGAUCUCAUUGUGGUCACUUGGUCCGAAGGUCACACAAUCCCCGGCCACAAGGCAGUGCUUCACUCCUCCUUAGAUAGUAGUCAUACCCGUUACUCACCAAGUAUGACCCUCACCAACCUUCUCUCCCGAGGUCCCCAACUCCACGCUUUUAGUGACACAUGCCUCCUGGACUCAACUAUUUCCGGCUUUGUCAGCCGACCAGUCAUAGUCAUGCUACGGCGCCGAGAUUGCUUUCCUCGUUUGAUAACCAUGGCUUUAUGCCUCGUCACAGUUGAUGGAUGGUCUCUAGAGAAGCCCAAGACUGAGGAAGGACAGUGUAUCCCAUCAAUCCUUUCCCCACCUUCCGGAUCUACAACGCCUUUUGUUGACGCUGCUCAGCUACUCGGUCGUGGGUAUACCGGUUGUCACACCCUGGUAUGCCCUGGCCUUUGCUUAACACGAACAGCGUUUUACCGAACGGAGAUCACCCGUUAGGCCCCUACUGUCCAUGGUUUGGCACAAAUCCGUCUGGAACCACGAGACUCAACCGAAAGAACAAGUGCCUCACAAAUGUUUACAUGUUAACAACAAUUAUUUCCACCCCUAAAACCUCACCAAGGGAAUUACUCACACAUGACGCAAUUCAUAAAUGCAAAAGGGAUUAAACACAUUAUAGAACGAAAAGAAAUACUGGAAUAAAUAAAUAGUACCUAGGCUUCAAGCCUUCGAACUUGUUCAAAAGUAGAAACACAACGGAAAGUGGAAAAGCACGAGAAUGUAAAUUGUUUUGGAUGCCACACACGGCGAACUUAAUUGAAUGCUAAAAGUAAAAACAAAAGUUUCAAGGUGUCAAGAGCUUCUUCACGCUGCACAUCAUUAGUCUUUUAUACUGUCGGAUGGUAGAGGCCCAACCCUAGCUGCGCCGGUUCCAAAUCUUCGCCGGGAUCUUCUUUCCUUAAUUAGCUCGAUCUUUGAUUGAUCCUGAUUGAAGAUGGCGUCCAGCUGCAAGCUUAGUCAACCUUUCCCAUUCCUUCGAUCCUUCCAGUUUCUUCUUCCACCUUCUACUUGUUUCUUCGAGAUCUCCGAGAUUUACCUUCCUUUUAUGGUUCUGGCUGUCUGCUUCUCAUGGUAACGAUCAGACGGAUUGCUCUCUUUGGUGUGACUUAUACCAGGUGGGUUGCUCCAGGUUCCCAUGCCCCAAGUUGAAUUGGAGAGGUACUUGUUGGCCGAAGCUCCAUGCUGGUAAACAUGACUUAGCAAUCCAGGCUCGGUAAUGCCCAUUCUGACCGCAUUUCUUCCGUUUCCGCUCUACUGACCUUUCUUCCUUUACAACUUCGUUUUUCCCCCUGACAGACCUGUACCGACGCAAAUAAAGGGAAAAAUAGGGCCAAAUGGCCCAAAAGUCGAAGACGCAUCACACCUACACACUUAAAGCAUACUUGUCCUCAAGUAUGUAGGUGGAUUCACAGAAGACACGGACGAAAAGGUUGAAAGAAAAGGAAUAAAACUAAAAGACACGAAACUUGCACAGAUUUCAGGAUCAGAUCAUACCAACAUGCAUCAUUCAGUUCAAACAGACCACAAACCAGAGUAAUGAUCAUGCAUAAAGUGUGAUGGUAGUCUCUCUUUUCGCUCAAGCACCGGGUUAAGUGUUUACACUCAUAAUUUGUUGUGCUAGUUCCUCUAAGAGUUUGAUUGAUGACUACAAGUUAAGCGCACUAGUAUGACUCAUCAAAGGGUCUUUGUUGGGUUGUAAUGGGGCAUACGGAGCUAAGGUGAGGUAUAUAUGGUUCAGUGGCUAAUUUCAGUAUCACCCUUACUCAGUAUACACGUUCAGUACAGCUACAACCAACCCUUAAUUUCCCGCUUUCAAUGGGGUUCAUUUUUCUUUAAUUCUUUUGUGGGCAAUAAUUUUUAUACAAUUUUUUUGUGCCCAGAUUUUCUUUCUUUCCUGUAAUUCCCUGUCCACCAUUUUAUUCACUUCAUAAAUUCUUUCUCCUAGAUAUAGCAUUAACAAAGCUCAAGAAAGAAUGAAUUCGGCUCAAGUUGGCAUACAAGGGAUUAUUUUUCAUAUUAAACAUCAAAGAAAAAUCUGGGGCCCUAAGUCAAAGAAUCGUGCCCAAAUCACACAAAUCAUGUACUAGCAAAAAUGAGUCCUCAAACAAAGUCAAGAUUUCCUAGUCACAGCAAAUUCUCACCAUAAACAUGCAUUUUUCAAUUUGGUCCUGAUCUCACCGGUGGGGUAUUCUUAGUAUCCUCACAACUACCAUCAUGCAUUUCAUACUCAAUCCACCAAUCAUACCAAAACAGAAAUCAGCAUGCACAAUCUUUCACCAUCAAACAAUGCAAGUAGACUCGACAUCAAAAACAGAUUAAACAGACACUAAAACAAGAAAAGCAAAAGAUAAAAUAAAACCUAAUCUACGAGUUCAGGGGAAAAGAACUUAGUCGUUUUGGUCGGAGGACCUAGCCUCCGCAUCCAGCCUCUCCUUGAUUUCUUUAAAACCAGCUUCCAUUGCUUUGAAUCCUUCCUCCAUGGAAUCCCUCAGCGUGGCCACCUCUCCCCCCAGCAUCAACAGCUCGUCUUUGAUUUCCUUCAGUUCGACCGUAAGCAUAACAAUCUCGCUACUGGUUGGGCGAGAAGUUCCCUGUUCCUUUGCAACUUUCGGUUCAGGUCAAACUGAGCUGCCAUCCGGUUGGACCAAACGGUAGCUGCCUCUUUCAUCUACCUCAACAAUCCGCCAACGCACAAGCCGCCCGAUAUCAAAAAGUCUGGUUUCUGCCACAUCAUUGUCCCUGUGCCGUCGUCGGAGACUCCUCUGCCUUGACGAACAAGGCAGCCACCCCGGCUCUCACAAGUGAAAUGAGAGUCUCACACAAACAGGUAAACUCUCCAAGUAGCAGAUCCCUUAUGAGCCGAAUUCCAUCAGCAUUUUUAUUUAAUUAUUAUGUAGAGAGAGAGACUAAUCGUCGAGGAGGUUGGUGUCUUUGGGUUAUGCAAUGGGAUUUUNNNNNNNNNNNNNNNNNNNNNNNNNNNNNNNNNNNNNNNNNNNNNNNNNNNNNNNNNNNNNNNNNNNNNNNNNNNNNNNNNNNNNNNNNNNNNNNNNNNNNNNNNNNNNNNNNNNNNNNNNNNNNNNNNNNNNNNNNNNNNNNNNNNNNNNNNNNNNNNNNNNNNNNNNNNNNNNNNNNNNNNNNNNNNNNNNNNNNNNNNNNNNNNNNNNNNNNNNNNNNNNNNNNNNNNNNNNNNNNNNNNNNNNNNNNNNNNNNNNNNNNNNNNNNNNNNNNNNNNNNNNNNNNNNNNNNNNNNNNNNNNNNNNNNNNNNNNNNNNNNNNNNNNNNNNNNNNNNNNNNNNNNNNNNNNNNNNNNNNNNNNNNNNNNNNNNNNNNNNNNNNNNNNNNNNNNNNNNNNNNNNNNNNNNNNNNNNNNNNNNNNNNNNNNNNNNNNNNNNNNNNNNNNNNNNNNNNNNNNNNNNNNNNNNNNNNNNNNNNNNNNNNNNNNNNNNNNNNNNNNNNNNNNNNNNNNNNNNNNNNNNNNNNNNNNNNNNNNNNNNNNNNNNNNNNNNNNNNNNNNNNNNNNNNNNNNNNNNNNNNNNNNNNNNNNNNNNNNNNNNNNNNNNNNNNNNNNNNNNNNNNNNNNNNNNNNNNNNNNNNNNNNNNNNNNNNNNNNNNNNNNNNNNNNNNNNNNNNNNNNNNNNNNNNNNNNNNNNNNNNNNNNNNNNNNNNNNNNNNNNNNNNNNNNNNNNNNNNNNNNNNNNNNNNNNNNNNNNNNNNNNNNNNNNNNNNNNNNNNNNNNNNNNNNNNNNNNNNNNNNNNNNNNNNNNNNNNNNNNNNNNNNNNNNNNNNNNNNNNNNNNNNNNNNNNNNNNNNNNNNNNNNNNNNNNNNNNNNNNNNNNNNNNNNNNNNNNNNNNNNNNNNNNNNNNNNNNNNNNNNNNNNNNNNNUCUAUUUCUUUUGUUUAGUAUUUGUCAGUAUUUAACCUAUUUACUGCCACCCAACUUACAAUAUAUAUAUAUAUAUAUAUAUAUAUAUAUAUUAAAAAAAAACUGAUAGAAUAUUUAAAUAAUGAGUGAUGCAAAUUUUAUCUUUUCAAACUUGAUUUCAGGUAAUAAUGCAGGCAAAAAGUUUCCCAUUGCAAGAAUGAUCAUGAGCCCCUCGGACUUCACAAAAUUUCCGAUUCGAUUUCAAAGGAGGCAGUUCCCACUAAGUCUUUGUUUUGCAAUGACAAUAAACAAAAGUCAGGGUCAGUCUCUUGCAAAUGUAGGUCUAUACCUACCGAAGCCUGUGUUUACCCACGGCCAAUUGUACGUUGCAGUCUCAAGAGUUAAUAGCAAAAAAGGCCUCAAAAUUUUAACAUGUGAUGCAGAAGGACAAACGCACAAUACAACUACUAACGUUGUGUAUAAUGAAAUUUUUGAUAAACUGUGAGGUAAUUUUGAAUAUCAUUUUUUAUUUUAUUUUUUAUGCCAUGCUAUAGAGAUUUAAUAAACUUUCUAUGUAUUAUUCAAAAAACUUUAUUAUUAAUUUUUUAAAUAAAAUGUUCAUUUUUAUGGAUUUUUUGCAAGUAAAAUUGGUGGAAUUAAAGAGUGGGUGGAAGUUCUUUUUAAGAAAUAUUCUAUUUUAGUUUUACACGGAAACCUUUUUUUAUUAUAAUAGUUGGACAUGACAUAUAAACAGUUUUUUUAGUAAAUGAUCUCCAUAAUUUAUAAAUAUAUUGUGAAAUAUUUUUUACGUCAUUUUUUUUAUAAAUUAUACUAACAUUAAAUGAUACCCGUCGAAAUUCGACGGGUUACACACUAGUUUAUCAUACAACGAUUAAUCCUAACAUGCUCCUAUGAAUUUAACAGCUGCACGUUGGAGUUCAGAAAUACCUGAAGAAUUCAGAAGAAUUCGUCAAUCUGUCGCUGAACAGGUCAGCCAACUUCAACGCUCCGUUCGACCCCUCAAACGAUCUCCAAUCGUAUUUUGUGCAGAAAUACGACUUAUUCGUCUUCGAAAGAGCUUUUCGUGGCCGCCUGUUUCACCUCAAUCGGAGUUCUGUAGAGGAAGUUAUGGCUGUUCUUCGGAGACUGUCAGAACUUGAUUUCCUGCGAAAAUCUGACUCCAGCUCAGAUCUUCUGAACUGUAUCCCGCUCAGCUUUCACCGUUGGAUGGACAACGUUCUAUGAAAGUCCCAAGAGAGAAUGUUCCACACAAUUUCCUGCGCCCCACACAGCUCUCAAAACCCUAAUUUUUAUCAGUGUGUUUUCCUGAGAGCUGACAGCUGUAUUUAUAAUAAAAAUAAAUACGUAGGAGGAGCAGAAAAGGUGUAGUAGGCGUGUUCUCUCCUUUCCCGGGCUAGGAGACUUUGGGCCAGUCCAGGGACCAGAUACAAGGAAUAAAGAUGGGCCUCAAAUAAAUUAAUUUAUCUAUGGUCAGCCCAGACCAUAAUUAAUUUAUAAAUAUCAGUUCAUUCCACUAGAGAACCAAUAUUGACUUACCCCUUUAUUGCCGGUGAUGAGUCGGGGCUUGUAUUCAGACUUAUUAAAUCCUCGUAUUUAAAAUCUCCGACAUCCAUUAAUUAAUUAUAGCUCUGACAGCCUUAAUUAAUUAAUCUCUUUUGUAAUCCUUAAGCAGUACCACUCAAACCUUAUUAUUGCGCCUGAACUUAAUCAACCUGCAGGGUUUAGCGCAAUAAACAUUAUUGAGCUCCUUAAGGGGAUGUCAUUAUCCUAUACGGAUACGAGUACCAAUACAGAUAAUCAGAUAUCAUAUAUUAACCGCUAUCACCCAAGAUACAGAGUACUCAAGUUACUAUAUAACUCUCGCUCAUAGUAAGUCAAAGUGAUAGACGAAUCAAUAUAUAUGUCUGACAUCUUAUUAGUAUUAAGAUCUUAUAAGUCACCGAGAUCUCUAAUUCUUCACUUAAGUCAGAUAGAAGAAUAUAUCUCACUGUGGUCCUAUCAAUACGUAUUACGUACCAGUAUAGAUAAGUAGUCAAGACAAACUACUUCCAUCUAUACCGCAGCCUAAACCAAUAACUUGUCCUAGAGUUAUUUCGGCUGUGAUUAUAUUAUAUCUCUUAAGGUUAUUCCAAUUAUAUGGUCUUCUGUGAUCUACAACACACCAUAUAAUCUACUUAUAUAGAGAUAAAGAACAUACAUAUGCAAUCAUGAACACAAUCAGAUAGGAGAUUAGAUAGUGAACUUAGGAAACAUUGUAUACAAGCAUAAAACGUUCUUGCUUUCAGUAUACAAAUCCAACAAGGCAACCCACUGUUGGUUUGUUUUAGUUUUUGUUUUUCUUGUUUUGUGCUUUUCGUUUUUGUGUUUUCCUUGUCUUUGGUUACUUGUGCAGAUGUUUUGAUUUUGGGUGUUAAUAUUUUAUUUCCAGCGCUGCAAUUCUACUCUGACUUUGCCACCAGCGCUGAAGAAUGCCAGCGCUGCAUUUCUACUCUGCCAAAGGCCGCAAGCCCUACUUUUCACCGCCUCUCACAGAGCUUAUGCUUUUCAAAUGCCGAUGUUCAGGGAAGUUUUUUCUAACUCUUUUUAUCUUGUGCCCUGAGGACAUGGCAUGCUUUAAGUGUGGGGGAGUGUCUUGUUUUGUUGCAUGCUUUCAAUUGGGCUAUUGAUCUCUCUAUUCUUAGCUUUCUCUUUGAUACUUGCUAAUUUUUAUGAAUUUGUGGAAGAGAAGAUGGUCUUCGAUGUAAAUUUCAGGUUUGUGAAUGAAUGGUGGUUAUUCUUGUUUUGCUUUUGAUAUAUGUUUCUUGAUUGUGCAAAGAAUUAUGAGUUUUGUUGCAACACGAUUGUAAGUAAGUAAAACGUGAUUUGUCCGGUAGAUGCUAGAAGGAGUGUUGUCAUUGUGAUUGCCUACGAUCGUAUCUGUAUCUGUUAAAUGUGUAAAAUGUUGGACGAAUUGCCAGCUCUGAAAUAUCUGGCCAGCUCUGAAAAUGACAGUGCUGAGUCUCUGCUCCUCUAGUCUAACUAUGAGCAUGGAAAACCACGUUAAAAGACUUUGGAUUACAUCCAAAUGGUUUUUAUUUCAUGAAUUAUGGCUCAACUGUCGAAAACUUAAGCACACAAAGUGUGAAAAAUGGUGAUAUUGAUUAUAAAGGCGAUCACAUUAGGGAAUUCACUUCUAGCGGAGAAUUGGGUCUGAUCGAAUUACUUGCAUUACUGUUUUGUUGCUUCGUAAACUUUAAGUUACUUGCAUAAUCGAGAGAUAUGUGUUGAUCGGAAAAUUUUGAAUUGGCUUUGUUGAAUGUUUAGAUGGAAAUAAACAUCGUUGAAACCAAUCUCGUUGAUUUAUGCUUAAUUGUUCUAAUUUUAGGGGUUUGAAUGUGCUCAUUGUAAGUUAAAUCUUCUGGAAAUUGGUGCGUUUUAUGGUGUAUUUGAUGCUUUUCAGGAGAUUUAGGUUUUAAUGGUGGAAGAGUAUAAUUUUGGGGAUUUUUGGCUAAAAAUGGCGUUUUUACGCCAGACCAGACCAGAGGAAUCAUAGGCCAGAGAAAUCAACCACCAGAGAAAUCAAGUCUCCAGAGCAGCGGAACCAAGCGCUCCGGAUCCAAAGAAGUCAUUCGCCAGAGAACUCGCUAAGCCAGAGAAGUCCGCCAGAGAACUCGCUAAGUCAGAGAACUCGCUUAGCCAGAGGAGAAAGGCGCCAGAGGAGAGAAAAGCGCCAGAGGAGAGAAAAGCGCCAGAGGAGUCGACCGUCAGAGGAAUCGAGGCGAGCGUGGACAUGCCAGAGAAAUCACCCGCCAGAGCGGAGGAAGCGCUAGAGGAAUCAAUACCAGAGCGGAACCCAUUCCGCUGACAAGAUCAGAGAAGUCAUCCGUUCCUCUGGCGAUAACCAUUCCUCUGGCGAGAGCUGCGAUUUCCGCCGAGUGGAGAAUACUUGUUGCGCGCGUCAUAGCUGGAGUUACCUUAUCAUCUACGAUUCUAUUCCUUUUAGAGUCCGGCUUUGCAUGGUAAUUUCCAUGGUGAUCCAGAAGGAGUUGAAGUCUAUAAAUAGGGCUAUAGUUUUCAUUGUAAAAAAUCAUCCAAAUUCUUGCCCUAGUUUUAGACGCCAUCUUUGCAAUCUGUUGGCAUCCGAAGCUUAGGAUUUACUUGCUUUCAUAGUUGUUCAUAGUUUUGAGUUUUUAUUGUUCUAAGUUAGAUUUCAAUUUCGUUUUAGUUUAGUUUCUUGGAUUGUGAUUGAGUGACACAAUUACACGUUCAAGACAAUUACGGUAUUUCAUAUUUCAAUUCAAGUUAUUUUCGUUUAAUCAUGUUUAUGCUUUUCGUUAUUGUUUAUGUUUUCUUUUCAAUUAUGCAAUUUCAAUUAUGCACUUUAGUUUCAUGCCUAGAUUAGAAGUCUUUAAAUUUACAAGUAUUUAAUUUCUUAAGUUAGGUUUAAUUCGAGUUGUUUAAAUUAUUGCCUAGGCUAAGUUUAAGUUCAAUUUACAUUUAAGUUUAAGUUACGUUUUUAAAUCAAAACCUUUACUGCUUCUUUUACUGUUUUUCCUGCGAUACAAUUAAAAGCCCUUUAAGACUUUCCUUGAGAGAUGACACUGGGUCAACUUACCAUCGCUAGGAUGUCCUUGUUCUAUUGCAAGUCAAACUAGAGGUGUUCUAGGUUGAGUCAUAUAGUGAAACCAACGAAGAACUUCCGUGGACGUAGAUCAUUUAUGAUCGAACCACGUACAUCUUGUCUCGUUUAUCGUUUCUUAAUUAGGGUAAGAUUCCAUGCUUCACCAAUAGCCGGCUGGAUGGGCAGCGCUGGGCUCGUCAGAACUGGAAAAGAUGUGCAGCGCUGGCGUCCUUCGUCAUAGUUGGCGGAGUAGUCAGAGCUGGGCUCGUCAGAGCUGGAGUGCUGGAUAGAGCUGGCAGAAGACUUUUAGCGCUGAAAAUUCCCACUUCUUCCACAUGGUCAGAAAUCUCAACAAAAGAACAGAAAUGCAUUAAAGAGGUAGGAAUAACAGGCUUCUUAUCGAAAACUGAGAACGUUACCGAUCUACCGGACCCCGCCAUACUCACAGUUCCAGAUCCCACAUCAAUAUGAGUCUGGGUAGUAGCCAUAAAAGGCCGUCCGAGUAGAACAAGAUGUCCAUUCUCUCCUAUAACGCCCUGCCCUGCAUCAAGCACCACGAAAUCUGCCCGCACAUUAAUUCCUCUCACCGUGACUUCGACAUCCUCUAACACUCCACGGGUGCUGCUAAUUGCGCCAUCGGCUAGCUGAAUUCUCGUAUUCGUGCAUUUCAACUCAUCUUCUUUUCUGCCCAAUUUCUGAAAAAUAGCAAACGGCAUUACAUUGAUUGCCGCACCUAAGUCUAACAUUCCCAAGAACUCUCCAGCUCUACCCAAACCAAUACUAAGAAUAAAGCUGCCAGGAUCUCCUUGCUUCGGUAAUGGUUGGGUUGGAUCAACAAUCGGUGGUGGCAGAGGUGGGCUGGAACGUUGGACAACUUUUGGUGGUCGAUACGGCGUAGUGGACUUGUGGAGAGUUAGUUCUGGCCGUCUUAUCAACUCUGGCGCUCGUCUCAGCUCUGGUGCUCUUCUUAGCUCCGGCGUCCUUAUCAGCUUAGGUGCCUUUCUCAUGCCAUAGUUUUGCAGAACUGGAUUUGGCAUGACUGACCAUUGCAAUGCUGCACUUGGCAAGGCUGCACUCUGCGGGGCCGGAUUUUGCAUAGCUGAACUACGCAAGGCAGGAUGCUGCAGAGCUAGACUUGGCAUAGCUGGCUCCUGCAGAGCUGGAUUCUGAAGUGUUAGAUUCUGCAGGUCUGGAAUCUGCAGUGCUGAAGGUUGCAUAGCUGAAUUCUGCAUGGCUGGUUUCGACAGGGCUGAGCUGGGCAGCGCUGCUACCUUCUUCUGCUCUGGUACCGUAGUCGGUUCCGGCAUCCUCGUCAGCUCUGGUACCCUGGUCUGCUCCGGAAUCCAUGUUUGUUCCGGUAUCCAAGUCUGCUCUUCGAGAGCAGUGAUAGAUAAAGCUUGGUGAUCUUGCAGAGGUUGACCAUGAAAUUUCCUGGGCUGCUGCUGUUGUUGCAAUUGAUUCAAGGUGUCCGACAGUUGCCCUACGGUGGUCUCAAGUCUUUUUAUGGUGGAUGCUUGAGACUCCAUAUUCUGCUUAGUCAUCUCCAUAUUUUGCUUGCUAAUCUCCAUGAAAGCUUGCAAAGUAUCUUCAAGUGAUGACUUCUGGGGCUGAGCGUGUUGCUGCGAAGGCUAAAAAUUCCCUUGCUGUUGAUACCUCGGUGGAUAUUGUUGGGGAAAAUUUUGUUGCGGUGGGCAGGGCUGCUGACCUCUCCAUCCAUUAUUGACGUUUGCCCUUGAUUAUAAUUCUGUGGUCUGCUCUGCCCUUGAUUGUAGCUUUGCCCUUGAUUGUAGUUUUGCACGAAGCCAGGUCUGCUCUGCAUUUGGUUAUAGCUCUGAAAUCCUUGUACCGCAUAGAUCUCAGCUUGACCCUCCGGAGUGAACUCGCCCAUUCUGUGACACUCAUUAGCUCCAUGGCUGAAAUCUCCACAUAUUCUGCAAGGCUCGCCAUUCUGCACCGGGACGAAAGGAGUUUCCAUCUUGCCCAUCUUAAGAUGUUGCACUUGUCUCACAAGAUCGGCUACUUGCUUCUGCAGCUCAAACUGUUGCGUCACAGAGCUGGCCUCAACUCUUUUCCCACGGACUGAUUUCUGUUGUGAGCUCUCGGCUAAGGUCUUGAAUAUCUCCUUCAGCUCUGCUGCAGUCUUCCGAGCUAUGUUACCUCCUGCAGUGCUAUCCACCAUGAAUUGGGCAGUUUCUACUAACCCAUCGUAGAAAAACUGCAUUAACAUCACGUUGGGAAAUUGAUGUUGAGGGCAUUGACGGAGUUAUUCUUCAUAUCUCUCCCAAGCUUCAUGCAAAGGCUCAUCCGCUCCUUGUUGGCUUUCUUUCUUCUUGUUCUUGUUGGCUUCUUUUUUGGCUCUCUCCUUGUUUGCGCCUGUGCUCUCAAGGUUUUUGAAUAUUUUUUUCUUCUUCAAUAAAAUUUCUAUUUCAGCAAAUAAACUGAAUACAAUACUGAUUAAUUGCAAAGAGAAACUUAAGACUAACAACGUGCUCAACAAAGGCUAUCGCGAAACAAAAGUAUUUUCGCUGCGUAUGUUAUCAGUCUGACUGAUCUAUCCUAUGAUAGUUUGCAAGAUUUAUAACAUCUCUGUUUUUAUCAAACUCGACUGAAGCCGUACGUGGAUCAGUUAAGUUCAUCAGUUAAGUUCUUGUGACUUAACUGAUAACUCAUUACUGAAGAGUCUUUCAGUAUCAGUCGUCAACCCUGUUUCGGUCAAAACUGUUUUCAGUAAACAAGUGUCUAAGUUUGUGUGUAAAGUUUCGUUUUGAUCUUGUCGCAGCCCGACGUCUAGCCAGUGAUAGCGUAGACCGGGUGUCGAUACGACUAAACAAACUAAUGAAGUAAAGAAGGAAAAACUAGAUCAAACAACUAGCGGAAGCUCACAACUAAACAUGCAAAUAUGAACAACAAUAACAUCAUCUCAAAGACACAAAUAUUAUCGGCUUCAUAAGUUCAAAAGUACAGGGAUUCUCGACAAAGUUUACAAAGCGGACAUAGUUAAAAAUUUACAAAGGUUUAUAAUUUACAGAGUCUCUGAUAACACUCAUAUUUCCAUGGUUUUAGUGUUCAUAUGAUGUCAAUUUUAUAGGAAAUUGAGUGUUGGAUGAUAUUUUUGUGCUUAAUUUGUUUUAUCUUUUGAAACAUGAUUCUUACUCGAACUUUGAAGGAAAUUUCAGGUUUAUUGAGUUCGAAUUUGGAAACCUUGUCCGAAAUAUAAGUUGUAGAUCGUCUCGAUACGAGUUCGUGAGCACAAACGGAUCACAAAUCGGAGUUCGGACGAGAAAGUUAUGACCAAAAAAAGAGAGUCGCGCGCAGCAGCGAAACAGCGGCGACCCCGCGGCGACCGGGCGGCGACCGCCGCCUGAAGAAGGAAAUUUGUGAAGGAGCCGGCAACCGGGCGGCGAUCUCUGGGUAGCCCGCCGAGUUUUCGGCGCCAGCGGCGUCCGCGUGGUGAGCGCCGUCCGAUCGCCGCUAGACCGCCGCGCCUCCGUGUUUUUGCGUUUUUUAUGCGUUUUUCAAGUCCUUUUCGAGCUCAAACUCUGUAUUUUACCCUGGUACUAUAUAUAGGUCUUCUUUUGACCUAUUUUGGGUUCCUUUUUCAGUUCCCAACUUUAUUUUUCAGUUUUAUAGCUUUAGCUUUACAUUUAUUUUUCAGUUUUUACUGCUUGGAUUGGANGGGUUCGUAAAUAGUUGAUUGGAUUUAUGUAAUUUAUUUGUUAAUAUCUUUGUGCCUUCUAGUUUAUGAUUCAUAAUUUCUGGUGCUUAAUUUCUUGUGAAUUAUCUGAUCAAUAGUUUGCAUAUUUAGCUAUUCGAUUUGAGACCUAGCGGAGAUAACUGUUUAGCGGAUUCAGGAAUGUAUGAUAUGAUUUUAACCUUGAGACCUAGCGGAGAUAGGUGGAUCAUAUGGAGCUAUUCUUAGGAGCUAUUGGGAGUUAGUAGAUUUUUUGAGACCUAACGGAGAUAGAUAAUUUACUAAUCUACGAUCAUUGCUGCUCUAGCGAGAGUGAUUGAUUAAUUAAGUGAUCUCUCAUCAUAACUGGAUUAAAUUGGUACAUAGGAUUAAUAGAUUUAUUGCGUAGAUUUAGUUAACGAAUUUACUACCCUAGGAUCAGUUGUCUUUUAAUAUUUGGUUUUUCAUACGUGUUUUGAUUUAUUGUUAUUUGCGUUUUAGUUUAAGUUAAUUAAACCUUCUUUAUUUUCGUUUGCCUGUCUACUGUUUUAGUCUGUUUAGGAUAUAGCUAGAGUUAUUUCGUUGUGUCAGUCCCUGUGGAUACGGUCUUCGAUUGCUGUUUAUACUACAAUUACACCAUGUUAGUUGCGGUAUUUCUAUUGCUAAUAAAAUAGUGAUCAGUCUCGCAGCAAAAUGUGAUCAGACUGUAUGUAUGAAGACAUAUAGCCGAGAGUGUAUUUUCUAAUUAAGUUCAAAAUAUAAAUACAUCCAACCUCAAAAGGCUACCAUAUGAAGUAGAAAUACGGUAAAAGAAACAACGUCAUCCAAAAUAAGUCCCCGCCAGCACCAGACAGAUCUUCCUCCUCCUCGAUUAUCCUGCACAUUUAGAAAUACAUGCAGGGCUGAGUACAAAGUACUCAGUGGACAUAAGCCGAAAAACAAAAGAAAGCUUGCUCUUAGAGCUAUAAAUUGAACUUGCCAUAACAUAAGCAUCACACAGGGAUUUUAGUAUAAACGAACCUGUGUAAGCAAUUUCACAAUUCAUAAACAUCACAAUAAAGUAACUGCGCAGUUUAAACAUUCAUCAUGCAUGUACCAUAUACUAUUCAUCGUCAAAGGUACUGAGAAGUAGGCCUCCCACUCAAGUACCGUGACCGGCCGACCCGAACGACGGCUCACAGUCACCUCUGUGCACAAAAUCCCGCUUGUGGCAGGACCGAAUUCGUCUCAACAGUAGAGGGUAACAUACAAGUUUAUCAUUAAAACUUGGCAAGUCAAUUAGUUUCAAGCAUAACAUUAACUCAAAUCGUAAUCAUAAAUAUCAUAUCAUUUAAGAAAGCUCGUAUAAUAUGUAUACUCAAAAUAAUGCCCACCUAGCAAACUUAGCUUACUUUGUAGCACUUGGGCGAUCUUACUUCUAAUCUCUGCUCGUAGCUUCAGAUGUCACAACGUCGAAGUGGUUCAUGAGAUAAGAUAAAUAAAACUAGUCAGGAACUCCCUUACUAUGUAUAUCAUUCUUAUCUCAAUGCUAUCUCAUCACUCAUCUUUUAUAUACUCCAACUAUCUCAAUCUUCUCCAUACAUACAUAUAUCCUAAGAAAUCAUAAAUCCUACUCUCGACUUGUCACUCAAGUAGGGCUAGACUAAUAACAAUCAAGCACAUAGACAUGCAUAGGCACAACAAGCAAACAUGCUCAAACUCCAUACUUCUUUAAUGAAAACUCUUCAAAACUCAAAUUAAACUCUUAUAACGCUCAAGAACAUCAAUACAAAAUCAUUUGACUCAUUAGACUAGGCUCGGUGGCCAGAGCAGAGCAGAAAAGAAACAUCAAACCAACCUUAGAUCUAUCAAUACAAACCACUUAAACACAUACAUAAAUCAUCAAUUAACAAUUUUAGGCAUAGGUACACAUAUACCUAAUUUUUCAUCAACUAACUCACAUCAAAAUCAUCAAUUAACAAACCACUUCAAAUCAUCAAUCUACUCCAUCAAUUUUCAUAUUAGUCAUCUCAUAAACUCAUACUCAUCAUCAAUUCAUCAUUUAAACAUUAAACUCAAGAUCUCCCAAUUUUAGGCAAACUAACCUAAGUGAAAAAUUCACAUCUCAUGACAAAGCUUCACAAUACACAUAAGAAUCAUCUCAAAACACCUCAAUAAGCAUAGAUCUCAUGCGAAUUUAAGAAAAGAAUAAGAAAAAAAUUUGAAGGGCAAAGGCCCUAAUUUUCGAAAAUUAAGGAAAAUGAAGGAGGGGGGAGUUUUCAUGCUUCAAUCAUGCAUAUACACACAUAUAUAACACCAUAGAGUCUAGAUCUAUGAGAUUAAAACACUUACUCAAAGGCUUUGAGUGAAAAGAAAAUUUCUUCUCUCUAACUUCAAGCUUAAUCUCUAUCAAUCUUCUUGAAUUCAAGUGUAUAGAGUGUUUAGGGCUUGAUUUAAUGGUGGAUAAUAUCAUAUAAAUGAUUUAAGAAGCUUAGAAGGUUGCUUCAAUGGUGAUCAAUGGAGGAAAAUUAGAGAGAGAUGAGAGAGAGAGGGUGAGGACGUGUGGUGAGGGAGUGAGAGAAUUGUUUUGAUUUGUUUAGAUACUUGCUCCCUAAGUAUAUUUGCAUUUCAUGAACUUGUCCCAUAAUCCUCAAACAUAAUUAAUGUUAAGUGUACCACUUGUCCUCUUGGCAAAUAGCACAUGCUAAAUUCAUUAAAAAUAAUGUGUGUGUGUGUAGGAAUGUGUAGUAAAAUUAAAUCAUGUAAUAUCAUUUACUAAUUAAAAAUAAAAACUUUACUUAUGCACUAGUGUGGCCAAAAUAAAAAUAACACUAGUAUUUAGUGCACACACAUAACUCACUUCACAUUUAUCAAAAAAAAUUAAUCCCGAGAAAUUUCAUUAGAAAAAAAAUGUAUAUCUUGACUAGUGAUAUUAUUAUUCAUCGUUUAAAAAAAAUCUCGUUCGUAAAAGAUUUCAAAGUAAAUCUCACAUGCUAUAAUUCUCAAGAGAAAUCAUAGUCACUCAAUCAUAAAUGCACACGUAACAAAUAGUCACAUAAUUGGUCAAACAAAUAGGCUCACAUAAUGUCAUGUAAAAACAAUCGACAUUCAUAGACAAACGAAUCAUCUCUCAAAUCGACUCUUCUCUUCGGGGGUUCUCACUCUUUUUCCUCAACUCUAUUUCUAACUCGUUGUUCCUAUUAACAUAAUAAGACAAUCAGUCUCACCGAUAGUUCUAUAUCCGCUAUCGGAAAUAAAAUAUAUCUCUUCUGAAUUUCAAUCAGCAUCUCUAACUCAACUCGUUUUCUCAAGCUAUUCAAUUUCUAACUCCAUCAUUGGUUCUAACAACUCAUAUUUCUAUCUAUAAAGAAACUAUGUCUCAUCUAAAAUAAUAAAAAAUCUAAUAUAUCUCACUAUCGAAAUACUCUCAGUACUGUCUCAACACUAUUGCUAAUAAGAAAAAGUACGGGGUGUUACAGAUCUCUAUCUUGAGAUCCAUCUGAUUUCGAAAAAUAGCAUAUAUGUGUAUUUCUCCCCCCCCCCCCAUACACCUAUUCGAGACCCUCCGGACCUAACAUAAACCCUAAACCCUAAACCCUAAACCUUAAUUCACAAUCAGAAUUUUUGGUUGUGAAUUCGACUGGGUGUGAAUUCACAACCAAAAUUUAAUUCACAAUCAGAAUUUUUUUGUUGUGAAUUCACAAUCAGUCGAAUUCACAACCAGAAUUUAAUUCACAACAAGAGUUUAUUUUGGUUGUGAAAUCAAUUAGUUGUGAAUUUCAAUUUUUAAAGUUUGAAUUCACGACUAAAAUUAGAGUUUAUUUUAGUUGUGAAUUCGAGUUUUAGUCGUGAAUUCAUAGAUUUGAUUGUGAAUUCAACAAUAUUAAGUUGUGAAUCCAUCGAACUGGUUGUGAAUUCAACAAUAUUAAGUUGUGAAUCCAUCGAACUGGUUGUGAAUUCAUUGAUUUGGUCGUAAAAUCAAAUUAAAAUGGAGAAAUAAGAAAAACAUGCCGAAAUAAGAGAAAUAUUAUUUAGAUUGGGUGGAAUUCACCAUCACACAUCAAUUCUACUCAUCAUUUUUUAAAACACAGAAAUCCCUAAAAAAAAGGAACAAACAUUAACUCCACCCCCGUCUCCAAGCUAAACGAGAAGUAAUGCGGAAACGCCACCAAUUCCUUCAAUUCCCUCCCCAUAUCCACCACAAAAUAGUCGAAUUUGGGCUCGAAAUUCUCCUUGAUGCUGUAGCAGAAGAGCGACGGGAAGCGCUGGAACAUCAGGAUCGCGUCCUAGACGACUCGUGGCUGCUCACCACCUACCUAGACGACGAGCUUCGCGUUUCGAGAGGAGAUGGUGGCAGCAUAUUUGUGCUCAUCAAGGAGGCCAACCCCCUUUUCACUAAAUCCUAGACGAAUGCUUCAUUUUCAGUCAUGUCUAGUAUGCUCGUUCAUCAAUUCUCUCAAAUUCCAAUGCUAUAAGCUUCACCCUACAAAAACAACAUCAACUUUCCUUUGUGGAUUUAAAUAUGUAUAAUCGACUUAUUUCAUGCUUUCAUUUGAGCUACUUGCAGAAUACUGUCUCCAUGUUAUGAUAGAAAUGUCGGAUCUACUUUUGAUUAACAUGAAACAGUAAACAUUACACUCAUUUAAUUUCAUUGAAAAUUACAUUAAAAAAUGUACAAAUAAAUCAGUGCAGACUUGAUGAAACACCUCGAGUAUAGUCCCUCUAAACUCCUCAGAGUUCAUGGACAUAUAAUAAUUCAAGAGCCCACGCAGAUCCUUUGUUUCGUGAAUCCUGUUUGCCACAAUUAUCUGCUCCAUGGAGUUUCUGAAAUUCUCUCUAGGAUCAUACGCAGAUAGGUCUCUAAUUUCUGCAAGUAAUCAAUUCGGGAAUAAACUUCGAUUCGACGGAGCACGAUAGCAGGAAGGUGAAUCUGCUGACGCCCUCGAUGCCGAUUGUGCCCUGGAGGAAGUAGAGAGCGGGGCGGAGCUGCCGCUCCACGCUGCAGGCGAGGAGGCGGAGGUCGGCGGCGUCCACGCGGGCCUCGCGGAGGAGGAAGGUGGAAGACAACAGCCGCCGACUCUCCAGAUCUGGAGCAAGAUGUCGAAGACAACACCCCAGCCGCCGACUCUUCCCUUUCCACUUCAACCACCCCAAGGCCACCAGAUCUAUGCUCUCCACAAGUUGAAUCCGACAACUCCAAGUUAGAAUCGAGAGCGAGAGAUAGACAGAGGUGUCGCGGUGGUGGUGGUUGUGCGGCGCUGCCGCUGCGAUUGCCGGAGAUCUACCACCGCAACUGCGGCUGCGUUUCUCCACAAAUUGAAUCCGACGACUCCAAGUCAGAAUCGAGAGAAAGAGAUAGAAAGAGGCGUCGCGGUGGUGGUGGCUAUGCGGCGCUGCCGCUGCGAUUGCCGGAGAUUGAGUGGCGGCGGCGCGGCAGACGGGCGGCGACAGGGAGAGGGAGAGGGAGCGUGAGAGAGAGAGAGAGUACAGCGAUAGAGAGAUGGCGGAGGCGACGAGGCCGAGGCGGCGCCGCUUCGCCGGCGAUCUGAGCUCGAAGGGAGGGAGGGAGAGAAAGAG
rnacentral:lncRNA from 1 species